rnacentral:rRNA from 1 species
AUUGAACGCUGGCGGUAGGCUUAACACAUGCAAGUCGAGCGGAAACGAAGAAUAGCUUGCUAUUCUGGCGUCGAGCGGCGGACGGGUGAGUAAUGCUUGGGAAUCUGCCUAGUCGAGGGGGACAACAGUUGGAAACGACUGCUAAUACCGCAUAAUGUCUACGGACCAAAGCAGGGGACCUUCGGGCCUUGCGCGUUUUGAUUAGCCCAAGUGGGAUUAGCUAGUUGGUAAGGUAAUGGCUUACCAAGGCAACGAUCCCUAGCUGGUCUUAGAGGAUGACCAGCCACACUGGAACUGAGACACGGUCCAGACUCCUACGGGAGGCAGCAGUGGGGAAUAUUGCACAAUGGAGGAAACUCUGAUGCAGCCAUGCCGCGUGUGUGAAGAAGGCUUUCGGGUUGUAAAGCACUUUCAGUGGGGAGGAAAGGGUGUGCGUUAAUAGCGUGCAUCUGUGACGUUACCCACAGAAGAAGCACCGGCUAACUCCGUGUCAGCAGCCGCGGUAAUACGGAGGGUGCGAGCGUUAAUCGGAAUUACUGGGCGUAAAGCGCGCGUAGGUGGUUAAUUAAGCCAGAUGUGAAAGCCCAGGGCUCAACCUUGGAACUGCAUUUGAAACUGGUUAACUAGAGUUUUGUAGAGGGUGGUAGAAUUUCAGGUGUAGCGGUGAAAUGCGUAGAGAUCUGAAGGAAUACCAGUGGCGAAGGCGGCCACCUGGACAAGGACUGACACUGAGGCGCGAAGGCGUGGGGAGCAAACGGGAUUAGAUACCCCGGUAGUCCACGCAGUAAACGAUGUCUAUUAGAAGUUUGUGGCUAUAUGCCGUGGGUUUCAAAGCUAACGCAUUAAAUAGACCGCCUGGGGAGUACGGCCGCAAGGUUAAAACUCAAAUGAAUUGACGG